CUCUGCCUGGUAGUGGGGGACAACGUUUCGAAAGGANCGCUAAUACCGCAUACGUCCUACGGGAGAAAGCAGGGGACCUUCGGGCCUUGCGCUAUCAGAUGAGCCUAGGUCGGAUUAGCUAGUUGGGUGGGGUAAUGGCUCACCAAGGCGACGAUCCGUAACUGGUCUGAGAGGAUGAUCAGUCACACUGGAACUGAGACACGGUCCAGACUCNUACGGGAGGCAGCAGUGGGGAAUAUUGGACAAUGGGCGAAAGCCUGAUCCAGCCAUGCCGCGUGUGUGAAGAAGGUCUUCGGAUUGUAAAGCACUUUAAGUUGGGAGGAAGGGCAGUAAGCUAAUACCUUGCUGUUUUGACGUUACCGACAGAAUAAGCACCGGCUAACUCUGUGCCAGCAGCCGCGGUAAUACAGAGGGUGCAAGCGUUAAUCGGAAUUACUGGGCGUAAAGCGCGCGUAGGUGGUUCGUUAAGUUGGAUGUGAAAGCCCCGGGCUCAACCUGGGAACUGCAUCCAAAACUGGCGAGCUAGNGGACAAGUAGAGGGUGGUGGAAUUUCCUGUGUAGCGGUGAAAUGC
rnacentral:rRNA from 1 species